CCGGAGGGCUGGGAAUAAUCUAUUAUAUCAUGUGCGGGGUAAAAGCCCCCAAGGCUAUGAUAAUACUGGUUUAGAGGAUGAACAGCCACAUGGGAUUGAGAUACGGCCCAUAUUCCUACGGGAAGCAGCAGUAGGGAAUCUUCCACAAUGGACGAAAGUCUGAUGGAGCCCAUGGACCUCAAGGUCUUUUUGAUUGUAAAGUUCUUUUCUCAGGAAAAACAACUGAUAGUACCUCAUGGAUAAA
rnacentral:rRNA from 1 species